UGCGCAGGCGGGCUUGUAAGUCAGUGGUGAAAUACUGCCGCUCAACGGUAGAACUGCCAUUGAUACUGCAAGUCUUGAAUAUGGUUGAGGUAGGCGGAAUGUGUCGUGUAGCGGUGAAAUGCAUAUAUAUGACACAGAACGCCAAUUGCGAAGGCAGCUUACUAAGCCAUUAUUGACGAUGAGGCACGAAAGCGUGGGGAGCGAACAGGAUUAGAUACCCUGGUAGUC
rnacentral:rRNA from 1 species